rnacentral:rRNA from 1 species
CCUACGGGAGGCAGCAGUGAGGAAUAUUGGUCAAUGGGCGGGAGCCUGAACCAGCCAAGUCGCGUGAGGGACGACGGUCCUAUGGAUUGUAAACCUCUUUUGUCGGGGAACAAAGGCGCCCACGGGUGGGCGGAUGAGUGUACCCGAAGAACAAGCAUCGGCUAACUCCGUGCCAGCAGCCGCGGUAAUCCGUAGGUGGCAAGCGUUGUCCGGAUUUACUGGGUGUAAAGGGCGUGUAGCCGGGCUGACAAGUCAGAUGUGAAAUACGGGGGCUCAACCCCCGAACUGCAUUUGAAACUGUUGGUCUUGAGGAUCGGAGAGGCAGGCGGAAUUCCUAGCGUAGCGGUGAAAUGCGUAGAUAUUAGGAGGAACACCAGUGGCGAAGGCGGCCUGCUGGACGACAACUGACGGUGAGGCGCGAAAGCGUGGGGAGCAAACAGGAUUAGAUACCCCAGUAGUC